GCCACGCCCGCUCAAGAAACUUAAAGGAAGUUGACGGGCCCCGCACAAGCAGCGGAGCGUGUGGUUUAAUUCGAUGCUACACGAAGAACCUUACCAGGGUUUGACAUACAAGUAGUAGGGAAAGGAAACUGGACCGACCCUUCGGGGAGCUUGAACAGGUGCUGCAUGGCUGUCGUCAGCUCGUGUCGUGAGAUGUUCGGUUAAGUCCGCUAACGAGCGCAACCCUCGCUGUGUGUUACAAGUGUCACACGGAACUGCCGGUCAUAAACCGGAGGAAGGUGGGGAUGACGUCAAGUCAGCAUGGCCUUUAUAUCCUGGGCUACACACACGCUACAAUGGGAAGGGACAAUAGGUUGCGAAACCGCGAGGUGGAGCCAAUCCAGCAAAACUUCCCUCAGUUCAGAUUGCAGGCUGCAACUCGCCUGCAUGAAGUUGGAGUUGCUAGUAAACGCAGGUCAGCCAUACUGCGUUGAAUACGUUCCCGGGGCUU
rnacentral:rRNA from 1 species